rnacentral:lncRNA from 1 species
AUGAAGGGACAGGUGAAUGCAGAGAAGCUCCUGGCAGGGUUGCCUGGAUUUUUUCAAGGCUAUGAGUUGCACAAUCGAGCAGAAGAUUCUUUGAAGCUACAAGAAGAGGUCAAAGCAGCAUGUUCACAAGGUGCUGAUCUUCUGCCUCUGUGUCCUCUUGAGAGUCAUGGGGCAAGUUUUCCCAAUCUAUAGACUGCUCCUGCCACCCCAUGUAAGUAAAAGCUUGAUCUUGUAAAUCAACCAGUGAAUAAAACUUGUCAAGAUUUUUAUUCCUGAGUGAUC